GGUUCCGGUGGGGGCCGGUUCCGGGUUCGGGCCGGCUCGGGGUCGGCCUGGCUCUUGGUCAGGCCGGUUCCGGGUUCGGGCCGGCUCGGGGUCG
rnacentral:tRNA from 1 species